rnacentral:rRNA from 1 species
UACGGGAGGCAGCGGUGGGGAAUAUUGCACAAUGGGCGCAAGCCUGAUGCAGCCAUGCCGCGUGUAUGAAGAAGGCCUUCGGGUUGUAAAGUACUUUCAGUCGUGAGGAAGGUGUUAAGGUUAAUAACCUUAGCAAUUGACGUUAGCGACAGAAGAAGCACCGGCUAACUCCGUGCCAGCAGCCGCGGUAAUACGGAGGGUGCGAGCGUUAAUCGGAAUUACUGGGCGUAAAGGGCACGCAGGCGGUUAAUUAAGUUGGAUGUGAAAUCCCCGGGCUAACCUGGGAAUGGCAUUCAAGACUGGUUAGCUAGAGUCUUGUAGAGGGGGUAGAAUUCCAUGUGUAGCGGUGAAAUGCGUAGAGAUGUGGAGGAAUACCGGUGGCGAAGGCGGCCCCUGGACAAAGACUGACGCUCAUGUGCGAAAGCGUGGGGAGCAAACGAGGGAUUAGAUACCCGU